GUCCGAUGAUGAGCCCAUGGAAGAGGAGCCUCCCCUGUAGCAGCCAGCUCAGACCUGCUGGUCUCUCGUUUGUGCGUCUCUUGUCUUGAAGCUCUGCCAAGAAAAUUCCUCCUGUUGCUCCUGCGUCCUGUCAGGGUGUUCUCCCAGAAUACAAAGGGACGGCCAGGUGUGACGCAACCACAGGACUGGUCUUUCUGGAUACGGAAAACGAGUCUUCUGCAUCUACAGAUAUCUCGAUAGACAUAUAGAAAUAUAUCUACGUCCAUAGAUAUAUAGACGGGCGCGCCCACACCCCCCACCCGCAGACAUCAACGACCCCUCCGCCUCGACGUGGCCCGCCGGUGAGCGCGACGCACGUGAGACACGUGGAGCCGGGGGCUCUUUCUCCGCUCCAAAGUGGGAACCCGUGAGGAGGAAGCAGCCAGUGGCGGCUUUGGGUCGACGGCCACGUUGUGUGGAGACAGACGGCGGUAGCCGCCGAGGAGACCCACGUUUUAAAGCUCUAAUACUACAGAAAACAAACUUCAUUAAAACUGGUGCUUAAGGUUUGAUUACCCACAAUUCCACAGUCUCCGUUGAAACCACUCGACUCAUCGUGUAGCUCGUUUGUUUGUUUUUUUAGAAAAAGAAAAGGAGAAAAAAGAAAAGGGGGGAAAAGGGUUUUUAUGACUCCGGCCUGCCCGGGAGUCCGAAAUCUAAUCUACAAACCCCCAUGAUGCGCGAGGGCGGGUUUUUUUUAUCGGGAGGGUGGGGGGCUGAGGAGACUAAUCCCUCUCUCUUUUUUAAUAGAACAAAAAACAGGAAAAAAAAAAAUCACGAGCGCCCCCCCCCCCCCCCCCCCGGGAGGAGUCGGCUUUAGCUUUUCAAAGCCGCCUGAAGAUGAGAGUUUGUGCCUUUUUUUCAAUUGAUCCGAUGGAUUUGGUGUGGCGGAUUUUUCAGAAGUUUGAAGGACAAUGCCUUAAGUUGAAAAGAAAAGAAAAAGCAGGACUCUGCGGAGCGACUUCCUCUGGCUGACAGAGCCAAGACCUGCCAGCGAGCCCAGAGCGAGCAAGAGAGAGCGAGGGAGCGAGCGAGCGGCCCGUGCUCACGUGAGGACUGAAGGCAGCCGGCCUCCCUGCCUGCGGUGCCUCCGGAAUUCUCUCCUGAGUUGGGGGGAAAGGGGGGGCGGUCGGUUCGGUUCAGUUCGGUUCGGUCCCGUUGGAUUUUUGUUUGUUUUUUUGUGGUUCUAUUUCAUUUCAUUGCUGUUUAAGACAAAUUAAGGGAGUUGCCCCCGAAGUGGCAAAUACGGUUGGGUGUUUUGAAGUCUGACAGAUUGAGAAGGAUCCGAGGCGUUUUCUUUCCGGCAUCGAUCACAGAACGGUCGAACACAGCAAUUUGGUCGUCGACGCAUGUAAUAGAUACACUUGCAGUUUUCAGAUUGGGAUGCUUUUCCCCGAGAGCAGACUAGCAUGAGGUAUUGCUUCAAUUGUAGGUAUAAAUAGAUAUAUAUAUAUAGAUAUAUAUAUAAUGUAUGUAUAAUGUAUAUUCCAAAUGUACUCCAAGCUUAGAAACUUGAUUCUUAUGAAAUCUUGAUAAAAAUAUUUAUAAUGCAUUUAUAGAAGAAAUAAAAAGGUAAAUAUAAUAAAUGCAGAUUGUAAAAGUCACCUUUUCAAGGUUCCCUAGCGAAUGGUUUUCCUUGUGAAUUGGACCAGACCGGUGCUGAGGGAAAGGGAAAGUUAGAAAGGCUUCAGACCGCCAACACAUUCGCCACUGGGCAACGACCUUCGAUGUUUGCAUUUUAAUUUCAGGUUCUGUUUGUUAUGUUGGGUUUCUUUUGUAACAGGACCUCUGUCCCCCCUCCCCCUCUUCGCACACAUACACAGAGUUUUGGGGAUUUUUUUUGGGGGGGAGGUUUGGUAGCGAGAACUAGAAAAACUUGUUGAUUUUUGUAUCGAUAUUUUUCAAUCCCGAAGAAACCUCGUUUGUGUGGAUUUGAACUUGUUUUCCACUGGGCAGUUUUCUGACUUGUUAUGAUGUCAAAAGGUCUUUCUUGCCUCGGUCCUUGCUUAUACAGUUUUUAACCUUUAAAGGUCUUUUUUAUUAUUAUUAUUAUAAUUAUUAUUAUUUGGGGGAUUGUUUUGUUGUUUUGUACAGUCAGCAUCUUUCCUCCGGGCUGAGGAGACAUUACAAUUUAGAGUCUGUUUUCAGAAACGGAGCGUUUAACGAAAAGAGAGCUCCUCGGCUCUCGCUCGUGGAACGAUAGAGCCGAGGUCUCUUUCCUGAGUUUUGUUCUGGCAAAGACGGAGCGGAGCUGGGGUGUUUUUGACCUUCCAUCCAGGGGGCCCCCCUCCGCUCCAGUCGGCACGCCGAGCUCCGCCGGGGAAGACUUGUCUGCCUUGACAAAAAUAAUUUCCAAAAUUCUUCCCCGAGACACUGUUGCUCAGAUAGAAUUGUAACUUUUGUUCUCCAAAGACCUUAGGGGAAAAAUGCUUUUGAGAAUGUGGAACGGGGCGAGGAGUGUUGUUUUUCAAUUUUUUUUCUUUCUGCCAUCUGGUUUAGACCUUCACUCUGAAGCACCAGAUGCUUAUUACUGGAGCAUGGGGCUGCAGGAGGCCGAUUGACACAUGUAUUCCCCCCCCCCCCAAAGUAUAUAGAAUAGUACAGUUCACUCCUCUGGACAACCCCUGUUUUCUCUCUCUCUCUCUCUCUCUCUCUCUCUCUCUCUCUCUCUCUCUCUCUCUGUUUCUAUGUGUGUGUGUCUCUCUCUCUCUCUCUCUCUCUUUAUUUUUUUUUUUUUUUUUGGUGACAUUUGAAGUCACCACUUUCAUUCCAAAAUUGAUUUAAUUCAGACUUGUGGAAAGAAUUUGAAGCUGUUGGGGGGGGGGUUGGCCCCCUCUCCAGAGAAGGGGCAGCCAAGGAAUUUUCUAAGCUUGAGUCUAGUUUACAGUUCAGCUUUUCUGAUCAGCACCAAGAGCGGGGAGGAUUUCUUCAUUUAUCCUUGAGCCUUAGAUCUGCAUGCAGCCGACUGAGAAGGGCAGCCUUGGGUGCAGAAAGAAAGAUCCCCCUUUGACCCAAACUUUUCCAAGCUGUCACCUGGAGCACAGCAUUCGGUGUCAGCAGCAGGGGGGAUGUUUUUGGGGCUCCCUCUUCACUGCAAGCAGUUAUCGGAGACAAAAGAGUCGUUUGUCGUUUUUACAAGAUGCUGGGGAUAAUCGGGACCUUUCUGCGGCCCCGUUAUCAUUUUUGGACUUUGUGCUAUUUACUGCAUGUUGCAAAGCCCCAUCGAGUGAAAUCCCUUUUGCUUUGUCAGCCUCCUCCGGCCCCCCGCCAUCCGUUUAAAAAAAUCGAUGUUUCUCUUUGGUUUUUGUCUUUGGGUGGGGCUGGCCCACGCUCGGCCUUUCCGUUGUGGCUCCGUGGGGCUCCCCUUCUCCCGGGCCGACCACCACUCUCGCUGCCCCGUGGAUGGAGCUUCGUUUUAGCUCUCCAUUCUCAUGCUGACCCCACGAGGGGAUCCUUUCCACACCCCGUUUUUCACUUGCACCUUUGCCGAGGCUACUGGGGCAUUUUUCAAAUGUUGGUCCACAGGGUCGGUGAGUGAGCACUUUACUGGCUCCCAGGGAGAGGGAUGGGGGUUGCCGGCCCUCCUGGAGCAGCUUGGGUGGCUCCGAGCCACUCUCCCCAUCUGCCCUUUUCAUUAUCCCCGCCUCCCCCGGAGCCCAAGCAUCUUUGACCCUCCAGGAUGUGCCUGAGCUCCACCAGCAGGAGCGCCGAGGCUGCUCCCCUGGCCUGCAGAACCCGGCGGGCAGGGCUGUGCCCCGCUCCCCCCACGUUGGUGUUCGUGGGCCCUGGUUGGAUAGGGCCCCUCCUCGAAGCGGUUUUGUUUCUCCCGUUGCUUCCCUUUUCUCCCUCGAUCUGUCCGGAGAAGAAGGAUGGUGGGUUCUUUCUUUCGGCGGUCUUAGACCCAGAAUCUGCAAGGGGCAGGUAUGAGGGCCUCCAGAGCCUCUUUUUUGGGAGGGGUCGGAGGGGGAGCUUCUUUUUCAGCUUUGUUUUUAUUUUCGAUAUAGAACAUUCCUUUGUAUUCGUCACAGUCAUGUAUUCAUUCCAUUCCGCUUUUUGUAAACUUUGGGGCCCAUGUGUUUUACGGGCAUUGAUAUAUAUAUAAAUAUAUAUAAAUAUAUAUGAAUAUAUUUUUUUAAGUUUCCUACACCUUGAGGUUGCAUGGUCUGUAAGGUCGGCAUGUCUUUCUAUUGUAUACAGAUUUUGCACGCCAAACUUGGCAGCUUUGGGGGGGAAAAAACAAAAACACGAAAAACAAAAAAAACCGGUUUUUUCCCCCCUCUCGUGGCAUUUGCAGAUUUUUUAAAAGGUGGGACAUUUUCUGUAAAGCAAAACACGGAAGGAAAGUGGGGAGGGGGGACGUUUGCGUCUUACUGAACUUAUUCU
ensembl:lncRNA